GGGGCGGGCAACAUUGUAAGACGGGAAACACACCCGAUCCCAGAACGACCUCGAUAUGUGAGUCUUACGCCAUAUGUACUGAGAUCGGGAGACAUGGUCAAGCCAUAUGUAC
rnacentral:rRNA from 1 species